rnacentral:rRNA from 1 species
UCCGGGAUAACCCCGGGAAACUGGGGAUAAUACCGGAUAGAUCAAACUUGCUGGAAGGCUGUUUGGUUGAAACUUCCGGGGCUUUUGGAUGGGUCUGCGGCUGAUUAGGUUGUUGCCGGUGUAACGUACCGUCAAGCCUGUAAUCAGUACGGGUUGUGGGAGCAAGAGCCCGGAGAUGGAUUCUGAGACACGAAUCCAGGCCCUACGGGGCGCAGCAGGCGCGAAAACUCUACAAUGCAGGCAACUGCGAUAGGGGAACAUCGAGUGGUCCUCAUAUUGGGGGCCUGUCCUCCCGCCUAAAAAGCGGGAGUUAGCAAGGGCCGGGCAAGACCGGUGCCAGCCGCCGCGGUAACACCGGCGGCUCGAGUGGUAACCGCUAUUAUUGGGUCUAAAGGGUCUGUAGCCGGCCGGAUAAGUCUUUUGGGAAAUCCAGCAGCUCAACUGUUGGGCUUUCAGAAGAUACUGUUCGGCUCGAGACCGGGAGAGGUGAGAGGUACUUCAGGGGUAGGGGUGAAAUCUUGUAAUCCUUGAAGGACCACCAGUGGCGAAGGCGUCUCACCAGAACGGAUCUGACGGCAAGGGACGAAAGCUAGGGGCACGAACCGGAUUAGAUACCCGGGUAGUCCUAGCCGUAAACGAUACUCGCUAGGUGUCAGCCACGGUGCGACCGUGGUUGGUGCCGUAGGGAAGCCGUGAAGCGAGCCACUUGGAAUA